rnacentral:lncRNA from 1 species
GCACUUCUCUCUUCUGCCUCCUAGUGAAAAAGGUGCCUGCUUCUCCUUCUGCCAUGAUUAUAAGUUUCCUGAGGCUUCCCCAGCCAUGCGUAACUGAGUGAGGACCUAGAAUUUUAAUGUCUAAUAUGCGGUGUGAAUUAAAGAAGCGGCCUUGCUAUGCUGACCUUUUCAAUAUUCUAAUCUUUGCUUUGCUGACCUCUCAGGCCUCUUCCUGGCAACAGUUAGGCUUUUGAGAGGAGAGAGAGCUGAGACUGUUGGCUCCUUCCCAUUUAUGAGAGAGCCACAUGACAUCAGCCCAUAGACUGUGGAGAGUAUUCCAGAUCUAUCACAUUCUGCGAUUCUGCGAUUCCCAGAAGGCUGGUCAUGAAAAAAUUCCCUCUUCAGUUUACAUAUAUGGCAGUGCUCCAGUGCCAUGACAGUUUUAAUCUUCUGGUUCCAUCUGCAUAGAUUUCAGUCUCUAAUUGAGGAAAAUCAUCUGUUUUUCUCAGGAGCCCCUUGAUUCAAGUUUACACAAAAUGUGCCUUUGGAGACUAUCCUGUUAAUUUAAACAGUUCAGAUCCCACUUGUAUGUGAGACAGAUGCUUCUCUGGCCAUCAGCCAGGUACCACUAAAGGAGGUACAGGCACUUCUAGAUAUCUGUUGAGGCCUGGAAGGGGCAAAACAAUUCAGGAAGCAGUUGAAGAUAAAGGGGUUUACCAUGGAAGAGAAGAUCCAGGUGCCUUCAUGGAAAUGCUUGUGGUUGAAAAGAGAUGAAGAUGAGGGUCCCUGGAAAGAGGAAGAACCAGCCAGGAAAAUUAUACCAUUAGCAAGACUGGCAUCAGCAAGUAGUUCGCAGUGUUGGUUGUUCUUGGUUUCGCAGGAUUUUAUAGGAGAUGGACCUUCUCCUAAAAGUCUUAUCUUCUAAGUCUCCUAAGUCUUGGACUUUUCAAGGCCAAAGAUUUAAAGGCCAAGUGGACCAUACGGGAGAUCUAGUUUCCCAUCCAGACAGCCAAGCUCAUGCAUCCCUGGAUUUGGAUGGAUGGUUUCCCAUGGGGCCUUGGACAGAUUGGACCCAGCACUGGCACAGGGUUGACUUGGAGGAAUAAGCUCCUGGAAACCUCAAUUAGCGUUUGGGGUAUGAACAUUAAACAAUACUGAAUCUGGAAACAAUACAUCACACAGCGGGUCCAAGGAAAUAAGCAGAAGGCUGGCAGCAGGCCAGGGCCAGGGGCCAAAUCGCUCCUCAAAGACAAUUCUUCAUGGAGAAAUGACAGCAGGUUUGAGGACAGCAGAAUUUCGCUCUUGUUGCCCAGGGCUGGAGUGCAAUGGUGCAAUCUCGGCUCACCACAACCACUGCCUCCUGGGUUCAAGCGAUUCUCCUGCCUCAGCCUCCUGAGUAGCUGGGAUUACAGGAAGUACAAAAACAUCCUUGCCGUUUGCUGGAAUGAUGUACUGCUGAAGGCAAUGGACACUGGGGUUGUUUGUCCCUAAUCACAAGAACCUCAGUAAACAUCAGGCACUCAGUGCUCUCCAGACUGCAGUGGUGGUGGAGCUGAGAGGACUGUGUUUGGAGGAGUAAAUGUCCACUCUCAUGCUAUUUUAUUUCUCAGGCCCUUUGUCAUGGCCUUCUUAGUGGUAAGAUCUGGAAGGGUACAAUAUGGUGAUAGAUGUAACUUUUGCUUUUGAGAGGUAAGGUGAAGUGAGGCCUGAGUAAAGAUUCACCAGUUUAGGAAGACAUUGCAGUUUGUUUCUAUUUGUUCAAUUCAGUUUACUAGGUUAGAGAAGAAGAUAGAGACUUCAAGCAAGGCCUGGCACAUAAAUCUUCCCUUGGCUAAAUAGUCAAUCAUUAAAAUCUCUCUUGAGGAUGUAAAAAAAAAAAAAAAAAA